UUUGGGGCCUACCUAGCAGGCUAACAGACUACAAGAUUGUAAAUUAUAAAUGAAGAAUAAGGAAGAAGCCAAGAAAUCUUUUCAUCCAGGUGAAGCUUUCCUUUCGCCUCCCUCCUCCAUCUCCACCUUGCCCACCACCACCCACUUCAGUCUGUCAUUUCUGAGAGUAUGACAAAAACAACAGCUAAGGAUUACAGAAAUAGCUUCAACUAAAAUGGCCAGCAGAGGAGGAAUAAGGUGUACCCUAACAAGUGCAGAGAAAGGAGGCUCUCAGUUUCCUUCAGUCUCAGCUCACUGAUUGACUCACCAUCACAGCUCCUGCUGAGAAAAGCUGUGACAACUGAGAGGGCGGAGGAGAGAGAAGAAGUAGAGAGCAAAGGGGAGGGGAGAGAAGAAGAAGAGAAAUGAAGGAAAAGGAUGAGAGAGAAAGAG